rnacentral:rRNA from 1 species
GCUUGUGCAAGGCCUCUGGUAUGGGUGCCGUGUCCUACGUAUCGCCCAACUAGGUUCUACUUGUGCCAAUUCUAAGCUAAUAUGCAGUGUGCCCGAAGCCCCUUGGGGUCCGACGGGUGCUUUUAUUAGACCAAGAUCAAUCGGGCUUCGGUCCGUUUUGUGUGGUGACUCUGGAUAACUUUGUGCUGAUCGCACGGCCACGAGCCGGCGACGUUUCUUUCAAGUGUCUGCCUUAUCAACUGUCGAUGGUAGGUUAUGCGCCUACCAUGGUUGUUACGGGUAACGGAGAAUCAGGGUUCGAUUCCGGAGAGGGAGCCUGAGAAACGGCUACCACAUCCAAGGAAGGCAGC